rnacentral:hammerhead_ribozyme from 1 species
ACUGCUGACGAGUCCCAAACAGGACGAAACAGCUUGUCUCCAGU